GACGGAGGGUGCUAGCGUUGUUCGGAAUGACGGGGCGUAAAGGGCGCGUAGGCGGCUCGUGAAGUCGGGUGUGAAAGCCCGGGGCUCAACCCCGGAACGGCAUCCGAUACUGGCGGGCUUGAGACCGGGAGAGGAGGGUGGAAUACCCAGUGUAGAGGUGAAAUUCGUAGAUAUUGGGUGGAACACCGGUGGCGAAAGCGGCUCUCUGGCCCGGAUCUGACGCUGAGGCGCGAAAGCGUGGGGAGCAAACAGG
rnacentral:rRNA from 1 species